rnacentral:rRNA from 1 species
GACGAACGCUGGCGGCGUGCUUAACACAUGCAAGUCGAACGGAAAGUCCCUGCUUUUUUGGUGUUCUCUAGUUGCGAACGGGUUUGUAACACGUUAGUAACCUGCCCUUUACUUUGGUAUAACUUCCGUAAACUUGGUCUAAUACCGGAUAGGCGCUCCUUCUUCAUUGUUGGUUUUUGAAAGUUUCGGCGGUUGGGUAUGGACUCGCGGCUUUUCAUCUUGUUGGUGGGGUAGUUGCUUACCAAGGCUUUGGCGGGUAGCCGGACUGAGAGGGUGACCGGCAAAAUGGGGAAUGAGAUACGGCCCAGAAUACUACGGGAGGCAGCAGUGGGGAAUAUUGCACAAUGGGCGGAAGCCUGAUGCAGCAACGCAGCGUGCGGGAUGACGGCCUUCGGGUUGUAAACCGAUUUCGCCUGUGACGAAGCGUGAGUGACGGUAAUGGGUAAAGAAGCACCGGCUAACUACGUG